rnacentral:lncRNA from 1 species
AUCAGCCCCAGGUAGAUGGGUGAGGGGGGGGGGGCAGCCCCCAGCACCCCCUGCCCCAAAUUUUGUCACCUACCCGCAGCCGCCGCAGCCACAGCACGGUGGACACCAGGCUCAGCCGCAGCAGCAGCGGCAGCAGCGGGAGCAGCUCGGAUGGCGGGGGGAAGCCAGAGUCCCCCAUGGCUCCGGCGAUGCCGCAGGUCCCCGGGCGGUGGGCACAGGCCUGUGGCACAGAGCCCCGAAUUUCAUGAGCCACGAGAAGGGCUCAGCACUGAUGCCAGGGACUGGGAGAGGAGCCCCCAGCACGGGGACGGCACCACCAGCACCCACAGCAUCCCCUGGGGCUGAGCACCCCCCUCCCCAUGAGCCCCCCAUCCUGUGCCAGGGUGCUGCCCGUGCAUAGGGGACGCUGCCCAUGGGUGUCGGGGUGCCACAGGAGGGGUGCAGCCUGCUUCUGACCCCACUUCUGCAGGGUUGCCCCCCUGGCCAGCCUUACCGAGCUCCCCGGCCCCCCCACAAGCCGGAGCCCACCGGGAUGGUGCCACGGUGCGAUGCCCACUGCCCGCUCCCACCCCUGCAGGACCCCCGUUGGGGCACGGCGCGGUGCACACGCACCCCCCUUUGUGACACCACGCAGUUCUUCUCCCUCCUUCCAGCCCCAAACAGAGUUUUGAUGUAGAUGGGAGCCCCUCGAUGCCAAAUGCUGGGUCCAGCAGGAACCCACCCCAUGUCCCCCCUGCCUCCUGGUCUCCCCCCUAAGCCCCCCUGGGCUGUGGGGUGGCCGGGCCCGGGCUCGUCCUGCAGCUGCUGGAAUUUCCCUUCCGUGGGGUUUGGUUCCUGCACUGAGAAGCAGGGCGGUGGCGGCUGGGCAGGGCAGGCUGCAGGCACCACGUCGUGCAGAAAAUGAAAGCAGGCGAGCAAGCAGCAGCUCCGGGUCUGCCCCUUUCCUGUUUUCUGUUUUGCAGCUCCGUUUUCAGCCCUGGCCCUGCACAGGGCCCCCGGGGCCUGCUGGGCUGGGACAACCCACCCGCAGGGACACCCGUGGGCAGGGGCACCCACCCGCAGGGACAUCACCGCCGGGAAUGGGACACCACCGGGACAGGGACACCACUGAGCCGGAGGUGCCAUGGGCCUGAGGAUGAUCCCGCGGCUGCGCUGGGCAUGGCUGUGCCUCGGGGCCCUGCUGGCAGCCCCCUGGGUGAGUGGGGGCCCUGCAGUGCGGCACCCCCACCCCGCUGCCCCUGGGGCCGGUUCCACACCAUCCUGCUGCUUUUGCUUUUGCUUCGCUUUGCUGCCACUGUCCCCAUGCCAGGGCUCGCUGUGGGUUCUUCCCCGAGCCAUGCAGGUGCUGCUCACCCUCCCACUGCUU